rnacentral:snoRNA from 1 species
CUGCUGUGAUGAGACUAUGAACUCUCUCUUACUGAACUGGCUUUUGAAGAAACCUCUUUACCAGAUUCUGAGCGGA